rfam:Myotis lucifugus cont2.8839, whole genome shotgun sequence.
CUGGCGGGGGCAGGGGCCCUCAGCCCGGAUUGCGAGAGGGCGCAGGCCAGGCUGAGGGACCCCACCGGUGCACA